GCGCCUGUAGCUCAUUUUGGAUAGAGCGAGGCUCUCCUAAGGCCUAGGUGGGUGGUUCGAAUCCACCCAGGCGCA
rnacentral:tRNA from 1 species